rnacentral:rRNA from 1 species
GAUGAACGCUGGCGGCGUGCCUAAUACAUGCAAGUCGAGCGAACAGAUGAGGAUCUUGCUCCUCUGACGUUAGCGGCGGACGGGUGAGUAACACGUGUAUAACCUACCUAUAAUACUGGUAUAACUUCGGGAAACCGGAGCUAAUACCGUUUUAUAUAUUUAACCUCAUUUUUCAUUAUUUUAAUUCGUUUUUUCUGUCUCUUUUAGUUGGUUCCUCGCCGCAUUAGCUAGUUGGUAAGGUAACGGCUUACCAAGGCAACGAUGCGUAUCCGACCUGAGAGGGUGAUCGGACACACUGGAAGUGAGACACGGACCAGACUCCUACGGGAGGCAGCAGUAGGGAAUAUUCCGCAAUGGGCGAAAGCCUGACGGAGCAACGCCGCGUGAGUGAUGAAGGUCUUCGGAUCGUAAAACUCUGUUAUUAGGGAAGAAAAAAUGUGUAAGUAAAUAUGCACGUAUUGACGGUAACUAAUCAGAAAGCCACGGCUAACUACGUG